UAUGUGAUCGUCUCUCGCAUAUCAAUAAGCGGAGGAAAAGAAACUAACAAGGAUUCCCCUAGUAACGGCGAGUGAAGCGGGAAGAGCUCAAAUUUGAAAUCUUAAAGGGUUUCCCUUUACGAAUUGUAGUUUAAAGAAGUGUUUUCUGUUGAGGUUUUGGUAAAAGUUCUUUGGAAUAGGACAUCAUAGAGGGUGAGAAUCCCGUAUUUGACCUUUACUUUCAACUUUGUGAUACACUUUCAAGAGUCGGAUUGUUUGGGAAUGCAGUCCAAAAUGGGUGGUAAAUUUCAUCUAAAGCUAAAUAUUGGCGAGAGACCGAUAGCGAACAAGAACCGUGAGGGAAAGAUGAAAAGAACUUUGAAAAGAGAGUUAAACAGUACGUGAAAUUGUCAAAAGGGAAGCGUUUGACACCAGUGUUGUUUUUCUGAAAAUCAAUUAAAGAACUGUUUAUGCUAAGUUGUUUAGACUUUAUCAGCUAACUGUUUAGUUUUGAGCUUUUCUUUAAUGCACUUUUCAGUUAACAAGUCAACAUCAAUUUCUUUUGCUGUAAAAAAGCUUGAGGAAGGUGGCUUGAGAUUCGUCUUAAGUGUUUAUAGCCUCUUGCCUAUGCAGUCGGAGAGAUUGAGGUCUGCAGCGUAGAUCCUUCGGGGCUAAAUGCAUUUGUGCUAAGUUAUAGCAUUUUAUAGACAACUUGUUGACUAUGAUUUGUCUUGUAGCUUACUCGCUUAUGUUAUUUUACCUACGCUUAGGAUGUUGAGUAGCGACAUACGCAC
rnacentral:rRNA from 1 species